rnacentral:miRNA from 1 species
UGAGCAGCUGGUGGGCUAUGAG